rnacentral:rRNA from 1 species
UUCGGUUGAAUCGGUGUAAUGAUAGCGGCGAACGGGUGAGUAACACGUUGGAACCUGCCCCCAAGUCAGGGAUAGCCAAGGGAAACCUUGGAUAAUACCGGAUAGUCUCUUAGGAGUAAAAAUUUAUUGCUUGGGGAGGGGCCUGCGGACUAUCAGCUAGUUGGUAAGGUAAGAGCUUACCAAGGCUAUGACGGAUAACUGGUCUGAGAGGAUGAUCAGUCACAAUGGAACUGAGACACGGUCCAUACUCC